rnacentral:tRNA from 1 species
GGGACGAUGGCCGAGUUUAGGCGGUAAACUGUAAAUUUACUUACGAAUUUUAUUCUCGUUCCA